UACGAAGGGGGCUAGCGUUGCUCGGAAUCACUGGGCGUAAAGCGUGCGCAGGCGGUUCGGAAAGAAAGAUGUGAAAUCCCAGAGCUUAACUUUGGAACUGCAUUUUUAACUACCGAGCUAGAGUGUGUCAGAGGGAGGUGGAAUUCCGCGUGUAGCAGUGAAAUGCGUAGAUAUGCGGAGGAACACCGAUGGCGAAGGCAGCCUCCUGGGAUAACACUGACGCUCAUGCACGAAAGCGUGGGGAGCAAACAGG
rnacentral:rRNA from 1 species